rnacentral:lncRNA from 1 species
AAAUUUAAGAAGUUCCAAAUAUUAGUAGUGUGGUCCCUUAAAAAUCUGACUCCAAUUUCACCCAAAAAUCUCUAACUCUGCAACCUUGGUGGAAGAACCAGUAGCUCAGAUAUGUUCUGUGAGACAUUAAGUGAUGAAACUUUGAGACUAUUAUUAAAGAAAGAUCAAAGUUCUAUCACCUCUGUACAUUUCCUAGAUGAUAGCAUUGAUAUGAGAGGUGAAAAAUAUAGAUCUAAUAUAUAGAAACUCUCUCACCUAUGCUAAUCCCAGCCUGGUUGGAGGAUCCAACCUACUAUAAAAAAGUACCAUUUAUGUCCUUAUUCAAGAAACUUGUAACCCAUGCCACCGCUAUUGAAGCAAAACAUAAUGAGUUUAACACUUUAAUGUCCCAGGGCCAUAAAUUUAGAUAUAUUGAUAUAUUUAUGUGCAGUAUAUAUAAUGAAGUCUCAUGCAUCUAUGAUGAUUUAUUGCCUGACUUGUGCCAAGAUCAACGGGAUUUUAAUGAAAGUAAAUAAGAGUGAAGCAUUUAUUGGUGAGAUAUAAUAAGAUGCUGUGUACUGUAGCCAAGAAGAUCAUGAGCUGCACGGAUACAAGUGUGGUUUUUUUAUUCACCAAUUUACUCAUUUAAUGAGAGAAAAGAGUAAUUAAAAAUACAAAUAAAUGCCAUACUGACUCUAUUGAUAAAUUGAAUAUGUCAAUUAUCUUCACAUUUAAUAAUUUAACAGGUCAGAGGGAUUAUAUUGGAAUGACAUCAAGAUCACUAACAAAACAGUUUGAAAAGCAUAAACAUUAUAUUGCUAUUGGAAACCUUAACAUUACUUUGGCUAGAUGUUUUUAUAGAGUAGACCUUUGUAUUACAUGGGAUCAAGCCAAAAUUGCCAAACAAAUAUGUAAUAAUAAGAAAGCACCCAUUGUUGAAGCACAGACUAAACAAGAACAUAAGUAGCACACUUAUAUGAUUAAUGACAACAUUUCAAUCAAUGUUCCAAUGUCAUGUUCAAUCAUAUCUUUAAGAAUAUGCG